UUCAGAAUGAUGAUUUCUCAAGCAAUAAGGUGACAGGUGAAACCACAUCAUUACAAAAAAAAAUAUUUUUGACAGACUAAUUUCCAUAGAUAAAAUUUCGUCAGAAAUAUUAGAAUUUUUGACAAAUUUUUUGAAGGAUUAAAUUCUGUCUGAAAGUUUUGAAUUCUGACGGAUUUUAUCGAAGGAAUCAGAUUCGUCGGAAAUUCCAAUUAUCCCCAAUUAAAAGACCCUAACCAUAGCCCUCUGUCACCCACUUUGCGACAUUCCUCUCCACAACACAACCUCGUGCCUCAGUCUUGCGCCCGCAACCGUCGUGCCUCCAUUGUGCCUCCGCUAUCAGCCCACGCCGCCAACAGCUAGAUUUGAUGGACCAAUCCAAUACAGAUGGAUGUAUCCAUUUGAAAGAUUCAUGGGCGAUUCUAAACGAGCAGUGAAAAAUAAGGCCUAGGUGGAAGGACCUAUUUGGGCGUCUUAUAUACAUCGUGAGACAACUUAUUUUUGUUCUCAUUAUUUCAACAACUUUAUGUUGUCGCCGCGUAAUGUUAGGAAUCAAAUUGCAAUUGAAGCUGAAAGGCGUCCACCGAUGCUAACAGUGUUUGACCAAUAAGGUCGUCCUUCUGGGAAAGAGUUAAUUCACUGGUUAACUGACGAUGAGAAAGACUCAGCCCAUGUUUAUGUGUUGAUUAACUAUGCUGAAGUUAAACCAUACCUCGAUUCAUUCUUGCAAUCCCAGUCAAAUGCCUCUACUCAUAAUCUACAUGUGGAUUUUCUUACUUGGUUCCAACAAAAAGUUAUAAAUGAGCCUACAAAUGUGAGAAACCAACACUUAAAAGAUUUAUCGUAUGGUCCCACGAGUUACAUUAAAGAAUGACACACAUACUUUGUCAAUGGGUACAAAUUUCAUACUCAAGCAUGGAGUGAAGGGAAGAAAAUGAUAAAUAGUGGGGUUCACAUAAAGGGCCUUACAGAAGGAGUUGCAUAUGAUUUUUAUGGGGUCAUUCAACACAUAUAUGAGCUAGAGUAUAAUACUACAACAUAUCCUAAGCAAAUAGUAUUAUUUUAUUGUCACUGAUUUGAUCCAACGAGUGGAGGAACAAAGGUAGAUCCUAAAUAUGACACAGUGAAAUUCGAAUGGAUAAAAGAUAUAAUUUGUUUGACCCAUUCAUCAGUGCACAUAAUAUAAGGUAAGUGUAUUAUGUGCCAUUUCCAGCAACAAGAAGGGACAAACGUGGUUGGUUUGUAGCAAUUAAAACGAAGCCAAAGGGUUACAUAGAAUCCGAUCAUGUACAAGAUGAUGUGCCUUACCAAGUUGAGGAAAUGUCACAUGUCAACGAAGUCAUUGAAGUUGAAAAUAUUUUUGGAUUGCAAGAUUUAAGA